GCCGGUGUGGCGAAAUGGCAGACGCGGCGGACUUAAACUCCGCUGCCCCUUUGGGGGCGUGGGGGUUCGAAUCCCUCCUCCGGCACCA
rnacentral:tRNA from 1 species